CCUACGGGAGGCAGCAGUGGGGAAUUUUGGACAAUGGGGGAAACCCUGAUCCAGCCAUCCCGCGUGUGCGAUGAAGGCCUUCGGGUUGUAAAGCACUUUUGGCAGGGAAGAAACGGCCCGGGAUAAUACCCUGGGUUAAUGACGGUACCUGCAGAAUAAGCACCGGCUAACUACGUGCCAGCAGCCGCGGUAAU
rnacentral:rRNA from 1 species